ACGGGGCCCGCACAAGCGGUGGAGCAUGUGGUUUAAUUCGACGCAACGCGAAGAACCUUACCAGGGCUUGACAUCCCCUGACCGCGUAUGAAAGUACGUUUUCACCCUCGGGUGACAGGGAGACAGGUGGUGCAUGGUUGUCGUCAGCUCGUGUCGUGAGAUGUUGGGUUAAGUCCCGCAACGAGCGCAACCCUUGUCACUAGUUGCCAUCAUUUAGUUGGGCACUCUAGUGAGACUGCCGGUGACAAACCGGAGGAAGGUGGGGAUGACGUCAAGUCCUCAUGGCCCUUAUGGGUAGGGCUUCACACGUCAUACAAUGGUCGGUACAGAGGGUUGCCAAGCCGCGAGGUGGAGCCAAUCCCUUAAAGCCGAUCGUAGUCCGGAUCGUAGUCUGCAACUCGACUACGUGAAGUCGGAAUCGCUAGUAAUCGCAGAUCAGCAUGCUGCGGUGAAUACGUUCCCGGGUCUU
rnacentral:rRNA from 1 species